GUGCUUGCUUCGGCAGCACAUGUACUAAAAUUGGAACAAUACAGAGAAGAUUAGCUUGGUCCCUGUGCAAGGAUGACACACAAAUAUAUUUCUUCGGAAUAUGA
rnacentral:snRNA from 1 species